rnacentral:snoRNA from 1 species
UUAUAUGAUGAAUCUGUUAUUCACACUGUUUGACCUGGGCACUUCGUGUUUCGGGAAUGAACAUCUUACACAAAAAUCUGAUUUAAUGAGGUA